UCUUACCUCCCUCCCCUUUUUUGUCCCAUAUUUUUCUUCUCUCCUUAUCUUCUUCUUCUUCUUCUUCUCCUCCCCAGACUCUCCACUGUCUGUUCUUUUCUUUUCUUUUCCUUUCUCUCCCUAGUCCUCCUUCCCCAUCAGAUCAAUCGUAGAUAAUGAGAGGAUUCCUAAUUCUUCUUUGUCUGUACUCAACCCCAAAAUCGGAGGACGAAUCCGAGUUUGAGCUUGAUUUCAUGAACCCAGACUUUCAAUGGUGGUGGAAAGGUGCUUUGGAGCAAGAUCUGCUCUCCAGAUCUGUUUUUUUUUUUUUCCCCUUUCUUUUCCUUUUUACCUUUUGGGCCCGAAAAAACCCGAGGACCGGCCCGGUUUUUUUCGGUCCGGGCCUUUCCGGUCCUUAAAACUGAAAAACUAAAGUUGAGCCCGACCCGAAAUAUUCAGGCUCGGUCCCAGGCCUUACAAAUUACAUACCGGGCAGGGACCGUGCCCAGGCCUACCACAAAGCAGGUGGUGGAUUUGGGGUCCAAUCAAGGUCAAGAAUCAAGUCGAAAAACAAAUUAUACUAUAUACGAAAGGCCGGUUAGGUGGGUACUGUUACUACUGUUCAUAAUGUCUUGAAAAGUCGCUUUUGCCCUUGCUUUUAGAUUCAUACCCUUUUGUCAGUUUCCAAACCGUGUUUCCAGAUUCUUUGAAAAAUAUCUGGUUUUUGUCUUCUUUAUCAAGUUCUAGAUCGAUCUGAACUUUACCCCAAUUUUCAGUUAUGCGAUUUGCCCUUUCUGGAAGCAUCCUUCUACACCGACAUCUCUACACCGACAUCAACUCUUCCAGACUAUAAAUUGAAAUCAACUCUUCUAGAUCGAUCUGAACUUUACCCCAAUUUUCAGUUCUGCUUCUGCCCUUUCUAUUCGGUUUACUUACGGUUUUGUGGUUGGAGUCCUGACCUUGAUAUAUCACCUCCACUUGAUUUCUUCUUUCUUCUACAGUCCUGUAAACCAUCUUUAUCAAUUAUCAAGAACGAUCGAGGAGAGAGAGAGAGAGAGAGAGAAAUCGGUUGUGUUUCUUUGCUUUGCACGAAGAGAUAGAGAAAUAGAGAAAUGGUGUGUUUCUUUGGUUUGCACGAAGAGAGAGAGAGAGAUCGGAGGCAAAUUCUCACGUCAUCAUCAUCUGAUAUCGGAGGCUGAAUGUUGGAGAUGGCAAGGAAACAAAUCUUGAGCUAUGCUCGAGGACAGUUCUACAGAGCCAAUGCAUCAAGUACCUUGGACCGAUUAAUUCCAAACCUUCUCCUAACUCCAUUUACCUUCAUCAUAUUCGCUGCAUAAUCAAAUUUAUACAUAUAUCCGAUUGUGUUAUCUUUGUGUUUGAAUGUUUCAGAAAGAAAGAAAAGCCUAUGAAGUAGUAGUCAAAGAUGGCAACUUAAGCUCAUACUAAUUGAUUUCUGAAAUUCUGCAAUCUAUAAAAAAAAAAAUAAAAAAAAUAAAUAAAAAAUAAAACCUCUUUUCUUUCUUCCUUUUGUUAAUUAAACAUCAUAAGAGUAAAAUUCUGGAUAUUACUCUGGGCUCAGUUUCUCCAGAGUUUGGCAAUUAGCACAACUUUUUUGUUUUCUGGAAUAGAGGCUGUAUCAGUUUUACCUACAUUGUUUGUUUUCUUUGUUUUGUGUGUUUUACUGGUUGUUUGUUAAAAAUUUGUUGGGCUACUGUCAUGUAUGCUAGGGACACUUAACCACAGCUUUGUACUGUUAUAAGUUCCUCAACCGAAUCAAAUGAGAGACAGAUGGUGGGGCACUUUAAAGCACCCAAAAAAUUGAUCCGAUUAAGGACAGCCUCUAUAAGAUCUUAAGGCACAGCCUCUAUAAAAUGAGAGGCAGAUUGUAAGGCUGCUAUAAGUUCCUUAAUUGAAUCAAUUUUUUUGUACUUUAAACACUCAUUCCAUGGUUGUGGUUUUUGUUUAGAAGUCAUCACUACUAGAAUAAUGCUAAUAGACAUCAUGUCUUUAAAAUCAGUUAAGAUUUCAACUGAUGUAAAUUGUGUUUAUAACAUCGGUUCUAAAAAAUCUGAUUUCUAUAAAAUAAUUAACAUCGGUUCUUAUGCUGAACUGAUGUCUAUACUUUUCAAACCAAAUUUUAAAAAAACGCGGAAAUGUACUAAGUUUAAAAUUAAGGAAGCGGGAGCAAAAUUUUCACUCCCUCCCAACACUUAGUCAGAUUUCCACGACUGAUUGACUAGGUUUUCCUCUACUUUUCCCCACACCAGCCGCGAUACAGAAACACCGAGACUGACUUCCUCUUUCACCCACACCGCGACCGAUCGUCCUCUUUCCCCACACCGCGAUACAGAGACACCGCAACCGAAGUCAUCUGUCGCCCCUGUCCAGUAACCGACGACCUCUUUCGCCUUCUCUGGCUCCGAUGGCUUGAUUUCCUCCUCCUGGUCCGCCUCCUUCUCUCUCAUCUCUCUUUUGAAAUCCAGCGAAUCUCCCAAUUGCUGAGAUCGAGAAGCCGAAGCCGGAGCUGCAGUGGCCGUCUGUCCUUUCUCUUUCCACGGGCCUCCCCUUCUCAGCCCCUCUCUUCGACCGUCGAGGCGGCGACGGCCAUCGCUCUCAUCGACGGCACUUCUGAUGCAAUUACGGCUAUUAAGGAGCAAGAGAAGCAAAUUAACGAUUUUAGACAACAUUAGUGGGAUUAUAAGAGACCUUCAAGAUUGACGUUGUUAUUGGGUCCACCGAGCUCCGGCAAGACGACGCUACUAUUGGCUCUCGCCGGACGCCUUGGAACUGGUCUUCAGAUGUCAGGUAGCACAACAUACAAUGGCCAUGGCUUAAACGAGUUUGUGCCGCAGAGGACGUCGGCUUAUGUCAUUCAACAGGACUGGUUUGCGGCGGAGAUGACUGUAAGGGAGACUCUUGACUUUGCAUGACGGUGUCAAGGUGUUGGAUUCAAAUAUGAUAUGCUAGUAGAACUAGCAAGAAGGGAAAAGAUUGCGGGGAUAAAACCCGAUGGUGAUCUUGAUAUAUUCAUGAAGUCAUUAGCUCUUGGAGAGAAAGAGACAAGCCUUGUGGUAGAGUACAUCAUGAAGAUUUUAGGGUUGGACAUAUGCGCUGAGACAGGAUAUUCUUUUGAGUUUUCUGAUGCAAGCUUUCUCUGUCUUAGACACAAUGGGAUGUUUCUAACUUUCUAUACUGACUAAUUAUUUAGUUAAUUAGUUCCUUUUCGUUUUCUGUUUUCAGCAGUUGUUGCAAUUCGUUUUCAUGACUCUUGCUAUGUCAAAAUGACUAUAUAAGUGGACCAUAUAAACUCAAAGUCUGUUUAACUAAGCAAACAGAUGAUAAGUUCUCCAAGAACAGAGAAAUUCUAUUGAAUCAAACCAUGCAGCUUAAAAGAAAACAAGACUGAUUUUCCAAAAGCUAAAGGCGGUUGGUAGAUGCCUAGACUUGAAGUGGCAUGGCAUUUAAUAAAUUCAAAUUGUAAGUUAUUGAUCAUUGGUCUUGCACUUGUGGUGAUUCUGUUGAUCAUUCUCAUCACCAAACACCCAAAGAAUUACCUAUACCCAACAUGCAUAACAUCUGGAGCAGCAGCUUUGGUGUUUUCAGCCUUCUACAUCAUGUACCUGUUUCUCCCUCUGCAAUGGAUUGGCAUGAAUGCUAUGCUUGUCUACGUUAUGGCAGCUGAAGGCAUCUUUGCAAGGUUCAUCAACGGGUGGUAUUACAAGGACCCCCAUAAUACGCUAGUACAUUUACAUACCUUCAUUCUUUUCCUACAAUUACCAUGUUAGAUAGAUUAUUAUCUCACCGAAACUCAUUCGAUACGACUGCUCAUGCAGUCAUGCUUGCUAUACAUAGCUGACUAUGAUUACUCGCAUUCUCUUUUCCAUUGAAGUGGUUUUAUAGCUUUACUUUUCAGCUAAUACUGAUAUGAGUAAUAUUUUUGCUACUUGUGGCAGAUAUAUUGGAUCCAGAAGCACAUUUUUGUUGGGAUUUGGCAUUCAAGGAGAGUAGGCAUUCUACUCUAUGUAAUCUUCGCAGAGAUCUUGUUUUGGGGCAUUGUCGCUGACAUUUUGCAUUGGUUGGGCAUAUAUUGGAAGCUUUAAAUUCUACUUUUAGCACUUUGUAUUCAUUGUAGUGAAUCUUGGACUCUUGAACUACUUGUUUAUGCCUUUAUUUCUUCUAAACUCUGUGAAGAACUGCAGUAGCUUAAACUUUUAAUUUUUAAUUUUUCUCUGAGAAUAAAUAAAUAUAUUUAUAUUUAAUAUUUUAAGUUACUAAUUAGAACCUAAUUAACAGGUUAAAAAGAUAGCUUUAAAGAUGACACCAUUAACUAAAAUAAUGCCAUGUAACGUGGAGCAUUGUAGAUUUUACCACUAAUUGUUAUGAUAUGGUUGUGCUCUGCGUUUUAGGGGUCUUUACCGAGCUUAUUCAGCAGAUGCAAGUAAAAGGUGCGCAAGUAUGGGUUUCUUUGAUGCCUCUCUUUAUGGUCCUUUUCAUGCUAGGGAUAAUUUGUUGAUUGUCCAAUGGUACUGCUAGAUCUUAGCAUAUUAUCAUUUCUAGGAAUUAUGUUUGCUCUUGUUGUGAGAUUGGAGUUUCCAGUGCUCUAUCCUGGAUAUAGAACUUAGGGGACUAUAAAACUGGCCUCUUUCUUAUAUGUUUGAAGUUUUGCACCAAGUUAUUGCAUGUCCACUUGGUUUUGGUUUUGAAAUUUGAAAUUGGCCUCUUUGACAGUGCCUUGGUAUUGAUAACAUAGAGUUGAGUUCACCAAAUGUUACUUGUACCGAGUCUACUCUCUGUCAAAAUUCUGAUUUUUUUGAGUGACCAUUAAAGUACUCUAUGGGUAAUAUGAGCUUAGACAAUGCAUUUCUGGUAGUUAAUUUCCUCAAUGCAGCUUUAGUCCUCAUAGCUUAGUUAAAUGAUGACUAAUGUCAAGGUUGAGUCAGUGGAAUUUCAAACUUUCUAGUUGAUGCUCAUGCAAUAAGAUGAAUGUAAAUUGUCAUGAGGGAAUAACUGGUACAUGUGGCUUUGAUUCACGAAUGAUUGCAGGACCUUGUUAGUUUCUGGUACCGUGAUAAUCAACUCAAGUAAACUAGGAUAAUUUUUGUGCUUAAAAUGAUUAUUUCCAUGUUUCAACUUUCAAGGUAAAGAAAGUUGGUUGUUCUGUUCUAUUCCAAAUGAAGUAAACUAUGCAGCUGAAUUUGAUAAUAUAAGAUGGAAAUCCAAAUGUUCUGUUCAGGCUAAUUCUUGACAAUGAUCAGGUCUAAACUAUCCUUUGGAAUGUGAUAACAUAUAAGAUGAAGUGCAUGUUUAUGCAAGCGGCAUUUCUCUUUUUGCUGACAGCCAUGAUUUUAUAUGUUAGCCAGAUAAGAAGGACAAGGAUUUGGAUCGGGCGAGUGAGAGGCAGGAUCUUGAAGGAAAAGAGCUAAAGCAAGAAGCUACUUUGCAUGAACUGGAGCUGGUUGCCGUCCAUGCUCUUCAUGAACUUGUUUCUUUAGUUCACAGUCAUGUCAAUGCUGCAGGGCAAUAUGAUUUUGAGUAAGGCUAGAUUUUGCUGACUAUUUUGUAGUAGAUGUAGUGAUAUCAGGAUGAAUUGUGAACAAAUUAUACGGCAUGUAGUUAUUGCAGUAGCGGUAUCUUCUAGACUAGCCUUAAAGUAGGUUAGGGUUUAAUUUUUGAAGCUACCUCAAGCUCUAAUUUUGUAUAGAAAUUAAUGCAAUUCCCCAAUAUUUGAAUUUCAUGUUAUUUGUGGAUCAA